AUCAAGAGGAAGAGAGAGUACAUGCGUCGAUGCCUGCAUGUGAAGCCGCAUGGCCUCUGCUGUUCGCUCGGGAGGGAUCUCACCGGGGGGCGCUGGUGCGGUAGACAUCGAUGUCGGUGGCCAGGGACAACCGACGUCGUGGUGUGUGGGUCUCGCCGGAUUCGGGUCGCAGGGGUUGCCGCCAAGGUUCCAUACCCCCACCGACGCUCGGUGUGCGCAACCUAGGCGCGGAUGGUCGCCUAGGCAUGGGGAGUCCAUCACUUACGUCGAUAUGGGCAAUGUCGGCCUCCUCACCUGGGGAUUUCUCGCCGGCGUCCCUUCUUCCUCUCGGAUCUGUGGGCCACCGUGAGCAGGGCUAUCGCCGCACCGGGAACAGCCUUACAGUUCACAUGA
rnacentral:lncRNA from 7 species